rnacentral:rRNA from 1 species
UAGGGAAUCUUCGGCAAUGGACGAAAGUCUGACCGAGCAAUGCCGCGUGAACGAGGAAGGUCUUCGGAUCGUAAAGUUCUGUUGAGAGGGAAAAAGGGUCACCAGAGGAAAUGCUGGUGAAGUGAUAUUACCUUUCGAGGAAGUCACGGCUAACUACGUGCCAGCAGCCGCGGUAAUACGUAGGUGGCGAGCGUUAUCCGGAAUGAUUGGGCGUAAAGGGUGCGUAGGCGGCCUGUUAAGUCUGAAGUGAAAGGUACCGGCUCAACCGGUAUAGGCUUUGGAAACUGGCAGGCUGGAGGACAGGAGAGGGCGGUGGAACUCCAUGUGUAGCGGUAAAAUGCGUAGAUAUAUGGAAGAACACCAGUGGCGAAGGCGGCCGCCUGGCCUGUUACUGACGCUGAGGCACGAAAGCGUGGGGAGCAAAUAGGAUUAGAUACC